UUCCCGCCUGUCACGCGGGUGACCCGGGUUCGAUCCCCGGCAACGGCGAUGUUUUAUCUUAUUAUAAUUAAUUUUUUUUGUUUCGGAAAAGUUAUCUAGCUAGCCAGUGGAGGGAACUUGUGAUUUUCACUCCCGCCACUAAAACCCUCUCUCUUCCUUUGCGUCAAAAUAAUUUCGCGUUUGACUUGGCGAAAUCUAAAGCAAAAGGAGUGGAAGAGGAUCAAAAGGAGGAGGAGGUCUUUGAUUAAUUUCAAUCGUAUCUCUCUAUAACGGUGCCUCCGGGGACAAGAAGCACUAGAGCUCUUCUAGGGUUCGUUCCUUUUUCUGCAGAUUACUUCAACUGAUGGAUAUUCAUGUUCCGAUCAAAUUCCUGAUAUUGGGUGGCAGAAAUUUCAAAAGAAUUGUUGCCGUCACACAAAGACUUGGCAUGGAAAAAGAUUUUCAUGCAAGAUAGAUGGCAUAUAUUAAGCUGGCAUCUCAGUGGCUCGUGUUGUUCUUCUGCUUUCAACUCGUGAAAUUAUUGACUCUUCCUGAUUACUUCGUUAUUGUAACUAGAAUUUGUUUAUACCUUCUUGAUUGCUGGGAAAGAUACAGAAAGGUUACGCUUAUUUUUAAAAACUUCCUUCUCUUGUGCAUGAGAAAUGUAGGUUUUUGGUUUCAAAAAUACAUUUGUCUAGAGGUUAAUUCGAGAACUGGUGGCAAGUAUAAAUGAAAUUGCAGAACAGAACCCAUUAUCCCCAAGCUUCCGCAAUGGGGCCUCUAGAACAGAGCAAAAUAACCGAUCCCCAGAAGCGUGCACACAUCCAGAUCUACUACCCUACUUGCCAAGAUCACAGGUUAAGGGAAAGGGACGAGAAAUUGCAAACAAGUUCUUUGCAGUAGCUAACAUCUUUAUACAACACUGCUUAUUAGCAUUUAUUUUCUGCUAAUCUAUUCUUUGCAGUAGUUCGCUUUUCCAAAUAAAUUCUGUAUGGUAUAAUUUUUUUAAAAAAAUUAAUCAGUCUGGUGAAGUCUUAACCUCCAGAGAUUGAAGAUU